UACGUAGGGGGCAAGCGUUGUCCGGAUUUAUUGGGCGUAAAGAGCGUGUAGGCGGUUAGGUAGGUCCGUUGUGAAAACUCGAGGCUCAACCUCGAGAUGUCGGCGGAAACCAUCUGGCUAGAGUCCGGAAGAGGAGAGUGGAAUUCCUGGUGUAGCGGUGAAAUGCGCAGAUAUCAGGAAGAACACCCGUGGCGAAGGCGGCUCUCUGGGACGGUACUGACGCUGAGACGCGAAAGCGUGGGGAGCGAACAGG
rnacentral:rRNA from 1 species